UCUCUUUGAAGCCAUCUCUCUAUGAUUAUUGAAUGACUCUGGAGUGUCAUCGAGUAAAAUAUGAUCAUUCAUAUUGCUUCUCUCCUUACAAAAGUAGUUGGUGUGCUAAAGAUCUUGUCAUCGUACAUACUUUCCACAUCCACACCCAUAAUAUUUAUAAUUCAAUUUACUGAUAAUGAAAUAUAGUUAGUAUAAGUGGCAUUCACUCAAAUGCAUAAUUCAUUCAAAUGCAUAGCUCAAUUUUACUGAUGCAUAUCAAAUUGAGACUAUCAAACUGAGAUCGUUAAAUAUCAACUUUUAAAUUGAUGUUAUUUUAUUAAAAAGAAGUGCUCUAGUAAGUUAUAACUAGACAUUUCACACUACAGCUCAUGUUAAAAAAGUAAUCAUUUAUCACCCACACUAGUAUAAGCAUAAUCAUUGAAUGUUAAAAAAUCUUUUAAUCAGUAAGUUAACUGAUAAUAUUUAACUAACUUUGUGCCAUGAUUGAACAGUCUCUAUGUUUCUAUAUCAUAAAUUUUUUAUAGUAUCGCAUGUCAUACAUUCACUAAAAUAUUUAGCCUCUAAUGAAGUGACAAUAGUAUAUACCUUGCACUCAAUUAUUAUAUCUUAAACAAUUCCAAUGAGAUGGUUGUGCAGAGAGAAAGGGAGGAAGGG
rnacentral:lncRNA from 1 species